rnacentral:tRNA from 1 species
GGAGAGGUCGCAUAGUCCGGUCGAGUGCGCACGAUUGGAAAUCGUGUGGGCGAUGAGCCCCGCGGGUUCAAAUCCCGCCCUCUCCG